GUUCCUCCUGUUGGUUUAAACCUGGUUUUAGAAAUGGAACUUUGGCUGUGGAUUAUUCUGGCUGCUCUUUUCUUUGAGUGUAAAGGAGAAGACAGAGUGAUCCAGCCAUCAGAAGAUGUCUUUGCUUCUGAAGGAGACACAGUCACACUUGAUUGUAAAUUUGAGACAACUUACACAACCCCCUCUUUGUUCUGGUACAGACAAGAAAUGGGUGAUUUCCCAAAGUACCUGUGGAAAAGCUAUGCAGGACUGUCACAAAAUGCUCUUGGGAUCUCAGAAGACAGAUUUAAUGCAACAAUCAACGGGACAUCAGUUCCUCUGAAGAUCCAGAAGCUUCAGCUGACUGACUCUGCUGUGUACUACUGUGCUCUGAGGCCCACAGUGACAGGAAACACCACAACUCUGUACAAAAACCUCUGGAGAGAAGACAACACAAUACUCCACAACAUCCACUAGAGGGAGUCACACACUGAUAAACUUCUAUGGUAUGUCAUGAUGAAGGCUUGAUGUUUCUCAAUUCAGAAAUGAAACUAGUUCAACAGAUGAGUCUCCUCCCAAUGACUGCAGAGGUGUUUGAUGACAGAGAACUGUUUGAUUCCAGCUGUGAACAUCAGACCAAACUCUACUCACAAAACUGAAUCAUACUGAACAUUCAGUUACAGCAUCUCACCUCUACAAACAUGGAACAACUCACUGUUAUUUUGUUCUGCUCAGCUCUC